AACGAACGCUGGCGGCAGGCCUAACACAUGCAAGUCGAGCGCACCUUCGGGUGAGCGGCGGACGGGUUAGUAACGCGUGGGAACGUGCCCUUCUCUAAGGAAUAGCCUCGGGAAACUGAGAGUAAUACCUUAUACGCCCUUCGGGGAAAGAUUAUCGGAGAAGGAUCGGCCCGCGUUAGAUUAGAUAGUUGGUGGGGUAACGGCCUACCAAGUCGACGAUCUAUAGCUGGUUUUAGAGGAUGAUCAGCAACACUGGGACUGAGACACGGCCCAGACUCCUACGGGAGGCAGCAGUGGGGAAUCUUAGACAAUGGGCGCAAGCCUGAUCUAGCCAUGCCGCGUGAGUGAUGAAGGCCUUAGGGUCGUAAAAGCUCUUUCGCCAGGGAUGAUAAUGACAGUACCUGGUAAAGAAACCCCGGCUAACUCCGUGCCAGCAGCCGCGGUAAU
rnacentral:rRNA from 1 species